rnacentral:lncRNA from 1 species
UUGUAAAAAAUAUAUCUAUAUGAAAAAUAAUACUAGCUACUAUUAUAUGGCCUUUUAGUUUGGUUCAAUUUCAGAGAAUAAUUUUCACUUAGUUUUAUAUGAAUUUUUCAAGAAAGAAUAAAUAUUUUAGAAAAUAAAUAAUAUAUAAAAAGAAUAAAUGGUUUUGUUAUCAAAAAUACAUUUUUUUUAUAAAAUUAAUUCUAAAAACCAAUCCGCAUAGCGUAGUUUCAAUUUUAUACAUAAUCCAUGCCAUAAUAACACCAAACACCAGAUAUGUAUGCAUAUACCCAAAUAAACCUAUAUGUAUAUACAUAUAUAUAUAUAUAUAUAUAUAUAUAUAUAUAUAUAUAUAUAUAUUCAUAAAUAGACAGAGAGAGAGAGGAGACCUGGCAACCGAACUUGAGGAAAACACCAAGGGGAGGCAAGAUGAUGGCCAAGAUGAUGCCUACGCAGUCAGUUGUUGAACCCGACAUUUUCACUGAAUUUACGACAAAGCUGUUGUUGGGAUUCCAAGCACGGAUGAGAAGAGAGAGAGAGAGAGAGAGAGAGAGACA